UUCCCAUUGGGGGAGGAGUAUGGCAGUGUCUGUACACUGGUCACUCCCUUCUUCUCCCAUUGGGGGGAGGAGUAUGGCAGUGUCUGGAAUCAUUGUAUUACCCCACUGAUGUAUGAAUCUUGACCUGGUAUAUGAC